rnacentral:rRNA from 1 species
UACGUAGGGACCAAGCGUUGUUCGGAUUUACUGGGCGUAAAGGGCGCGUAGGCGGCAAUUCAAGUCAUCUGUGAAAUCUCCGGGCUUAACCCGGAAACUGCCAUUGAUACUAUCUGUCUUGAAUACCGUGGAGGUGAGCGGAAUAUGUCAUGUAGCGGUGAAAUGCUUAGAUAUGACAUAGAACACCAAUUGCGAAGGCAGCUCACUACACGAAUAUUGACACUGAGGCACGAAAGCGUGGGGAUCAAACAGG